rnacentral:rRNA from 1 species
GACGAACGCUGGCGGCGUGCUUAACACAUGCAAGUCGAACGGAAAGGCCCUGCUUGCAGGGUCCUCGAGUGGCGAACGGGUGAGUAACACGUGGGUGAUCUGCCCUUCACUUCGGGAUAAGCCUGGGAAACUGGGUCUAAUACCGGAUAGGAGCCAUUUUUAGUGUGAUGGUUGGAAAGUUUUUUCGGUGUAGGAUGAGCUCGCGGCCUAUCAGCUUGUUGGUGGGGUAAUGGCCUACCAAGGCGGCGACGGGUAGCCGGCCUGAGAGGGUGGACGGCCACAUUGGGACUGAGAUACGGCCCAGACUCCUACGGGAGGCAGCAGUGGGGAAUAUUGCACAAUGGGCGGAAGCCUGAUGCAGCGACGCCGCGUGGGGGAUGACGGCCUUCGGGUUGUAAACUCCUUUCGCUAGGGACGAAGCUUUUGUGACGGUACCUAGAUAAGAAGCACCGGCUAACUACGUG